rnacentral:tRNA from 1 species
GACCAUGUAGCUCAGUGGAUAGAGCGCUACCCUGCGGAGGUAGAGGCCGGAGGUUCGAGUCCCCCCAUGGUCG